rnacentral:rRNA from 1 species
GACGAACGCUGGCGGCGUGCCUAAUACAUGCAAGUCGAGCGAAUGACGAGGAGCUUGCUCCUUUGAUUUAGCGGCGGACGGGUGAGUAACGCGUGGGUAACCUACCCUAUAGACUGGGAUAACUUCGGGAAACCGGAGCUAAUACCGGAUAACACUUUUGAACACAUGUUCGAAAGUUGAAAGAUGGUUUCGGCUAUCACUAUAGGAUGGACCCGCGGCGCAUUAGCUAGUUGGUGAGGUAACGGCUCACCAAGGCAACGAUGCGUAGCCGACCUGAGAGGGUGAUCGGCCACACUGGGACUGAGACACGGCCCAGACUCCUACGGGAGGCAGCAGUAGGGAAUCUUCCGCAAUGGACGAAAGUCUGACGGAGCAACGCCGCGUGAGUGAAGAAGGUUUUCGGAUCGUAAAACUCUGUUGUUAGGGAAGAACAAGUACCAUAGUAACUGAUGGUACCUUGACGGUACCUAACCAGAAAGCCACGGCUAACUACGUGCCAGCCGCCGCUGUAACAC